rnacentral:rRNA from 1 species
ACGAACGCUGGCGGCAGGCCUAACACAUGCAAGUCGAGCGGCAGCACGGGAGCUUGCUCCUGGUGGCGAGCGGCGGACGGGUGAGUAAUGCCUAGGAAUCUGCCUGAUAGUGGGGGAUAACGACCGGAAACGGUCGCUAAUACCGCGUACGUCCUACGGGAGAAAGUGGGGGACCUUCGGGCCUCACUGCUAUCAGAUGAGCCUAGGUCGGAUUAGCUAGUUGGUGGGGUAAUGGCUCACCAAGGCGACGAUCCGUAACUGGUCUGAGAGGAUGAUCAGUCACACUGGAACUGAGACACGGUCCCACG